UAGCCUACGGGUGGCAGCAGUGGGGAAUAUUGGACAAUGGGCGCAAGCCUGAUCCAGCCAUGCCGCGUGUGUGAAGAAGGCCCUCGGGUUGUAAAGCACUUUCAGUGGGGAAGAAAGCCUUCCGGUUAAUACCCGGGAGGAAGGACAUCACCCACAGAAGAAGCACCGGCUAACUCCGUGCCAGCAGCCGCGGUAAUACGGAGGGUGCGAGCGUUAAUCGGAAUUACUGGGCGUAAAGCGCGCGUAGGUGGCUUGAUAAGCCGGUUGUGAAAGCCCCGGGCUCAACCUGGGAACGGCAUCCGGAACUGUCAGGCUAGAGUGCAGGAGAGGAAGGUAGAAUUCCCGGUGUAGCGGUGAAAUGCGUAGAGAUCGGGAGGAAUACCAGUGGCGAAGGCGGCCUUCUGGACUGACACUGACACUGAGGUGCGAAAGCGUGGGUAGCAAACAGGAUUAGAUACCCUGGUAGUCA
rnacentral:rRNA from 1 species